UGUGCACAUGUGUGUGUGCAUGUGUGUAUUUGUGUGUUGGUGUAUGUGCAUGUUUGUGUGCAUGUGCAUGUGUGCAUGCAU
rnacentral:miRNA from 10 species